rnacentral:lncRNA from 1 species
GUAGAUAGCAUCUAAAGCUCCGCAGAUGUCCAUAAAUAUCAUCAAACUCCAAACUGCAUCCAUAUAAGUAGCAAAAACAGCGUCACGGGUACAGUACGCGCGCAACAUCUUACAACACAGAUCAAAAUCAAACAGCAGUACAAGAAAAUCGUAUGCUGCAUCUGCAUCACUGUUGUAGGGCAAAGCUAUUCGGCUACUCCCAUCAAAGAGUUCAAGACCAAACAAGGCAGCCAUAAUAACACAAGGCAAUUGGUGGCAUAUUGGUGCUGCACCACAAAAAGGGAGUCGUGAUAGAUGCCUCCCGACAAACUCGAACCACUUGCUAGC